AAAGAUUUUUACAGGUCCAUCCCUAAACAGCGGGGCAGGACUUGGUAGCUGGUGCUAAGGGGAAAGUCUGGAUUGCAUUGUCCUGGGACCACUUCAGUGGCAACUGUCAUUCAACUUGACAGAGAA
rnacentral:snoRNA from 1 species